CAAUAGCGUAUAUUAAAGCUGUUGCGGUUAAAAAGCUCGUAGUUGGAUUUCUGUCAAGGACAACUGGUCCGCCCUCCGGGUGAGCACAUAGUUUGGUCUUGGCAUCUUGCUGGAAACUGUUGCUGCGCUUGGUUGUGUGGUGCAGCUUUCAGCACUUUCACUUUGAGGAAAUUGGGGUGUUUCAAGCAGGCACAUGCCUUUGGACACAGUAGCAUGGAAUAAUUAGAUUGGGCUUUUGCUCCAACUUGUUGGUUCCUGGAGCUGAGGUGAGAAUCAAUGGGGAUUGUUGGGGGCAUCCGAAUUUAGCCGUCAGAGGUGAAAUUCUUGGAUCUGCUAAAGACGGACAACUGCGAAAGCGUUUGCCCAGGAUGUUUUCAUUGA
rnacentral:rRNA from 1 species